UACGUAGGGUGCGAGCGUUGUCCGGAAUUAUUGGGCGUAAAGAGCUCGUAGGCGGUCUGUCGCGUCGAUCGUGAAAACUUGGGGCUUAACCCUGAGCUUGCGGUCGAUACGGGCAUGACUGGAGGUAUGCAGGGGAGAACGGAAUUCCUGGUGUAGCGGUGGAAUGCGCAGAUAUCAGGAGGAACACCGGUGGCGAAGGCGGGUCUCUGGGCAGUAACUGACGCUGAGGAGCGAAAGCGUGGGGAGCGAACAGG
rnacentral:rRNA from 1 species